CCAUGUGUCCAUCACACACCACAUCCUGCCACGUAGGAGGACAGGUCCUGGCCCUGGCAGUGACGUUUCCAGGCCACCCUGAAACCAGACGGACAGAAGGACGUCAGUCAUCCACAUUCUCCCCGUGUCACAAUGAAAUACUUAUUUCAGGUCCUUGACUCAGUCCAAGCUGCCAAGUGAUCCACAGAUCCUGUUAAACAGUAACCGCCCGACACACAGGCAGCGGGAAAAAAUGGGGAAAUAACGCUCUUACGAAAAACAUCACGCUCUUGACUAAGGACCAGUGAACGUCCACGCAGAUCACGGGUGUUCAAUCUGCUCCUCCGUGAUCGGGACCCGGCCGGAGCGUUUGACGAGAGCAGCAGACUCCCAACGAGGGCGGCGACUGUCGAUGAACCUUCUGUCGGCUGUGAAUUAAGAUGGACGACGCGUCUCCACUUCUUUCUAAAAUGUCCCCGGAUGCAGGCGCCGGCCGGCGGCCAUCUUGUGCUGAUGAGGUCAUUUGUAGCCAGCGGUCCCUAACUGAGAGAAGUGACCCGGAAGUAUUUCCUCGGCAGCCCCCGAUUUGAAAUGUUCAUGAAAGGAGCUUCCUUUCCUCUGUCUCCUUUGGCCUAAGGAGGAGACACAGACGCCCCACAAUUCAUAGUGGCUGCGAUAUUUAACGUAAACGAUUAAAUCCGAAGUAGAGGAAGAAGAAGAAGAGUAUUUAUAUGACACAGUCAUCAUAUGAAAUACUUAUUUCAGGUCCUUGACUCGGUCCAAGCUGCCAAGUGAUCCACAGAUCCUGUUAAACAGUAACCGCCCGACACACAGGCAGCGGGAAAAAAUGGGGAAAUAACGCUCUUACGAAAAACAUCACGCUCUUGACUAAGGACCAGUGAACGUCCACGCAGGUACAACUUGAUCAACACGAGAGCAGAGUCUCAGAGUUCUGUUGGCCAACGGUAGAUGGAGGAUUUUCAUAAAGAGCCUCGUCACGCGUACAAAGACGUUCACAGAGAUAUAGAGUCGAGCCUGUUUAUAAUAAUAUGGAUUGAAUAAUUCCUUCCUCUCUUUCUUUCUUUAUUCUUUAUUUCGAACAAAUUCAAAUAAAAAGUGUUACACAAACAAAUUAAAUGUUUGUAAAGUGUUAUAAGCAAUAUUUAUAAAUAUAUAAAUCAUAUAUGUCUGAAAAGGAGCAGGAGGAAGCCAAAGCUUAUUAA